ACGCUCCAGGUAAAUCCUGGUCCUUCUUGGUGGCUGUAUGAUCUUAAGUAAGCCCAUUUUGCUUCAAUUUUCUUAUCUAGAAAAUGGGGAUAAUAACACCCAUGUUAUAGAGUUAUUCUGAUGAUUUCUAAGAGUCUCAGAGACCUAGGAUCCACAAAAUCAAAACAACAAAACCAAGCCUUUGUGCACAUCUGUGGUUGUGACCAGUUGGAGAGACAUUAGGAGAUGAGAUACUAUGUUCACUCCUCACAGCUGUACCAGGGACCUGAGAUAUUCCGUCACUAUUCUAUGAGCCUGGGCUGGUGAAUGGUUCCUGCUUUCACUAUUCCAGAUGUCCAGCUCUGUACCUUGCUGCUCUCCUUAAAGCCUGCCUCCCUCUAGAUGGUCUGGCUUGAUGAUAUCCAACCUGACGUGGCCUGAAGAGACAGACAGUGGCUCUUGCUAGCUAAUUAUUGUCAGAUGGAUCGGCAGCCGACCAACGCUUCUGAAACUAUUGUUUUUGGCAAAUGUUCCUCAACAUUUUCCUGGGAGCUAUGGUGCAUUACUCACGAGUGACAGAACCAACGAGCUUCAUCUCCCAAGAGGCUGGUGCAUCUGUUUAAAGGAGCAGGCACUAGGCAGAGCAGCCCCCACCCCACCCUCCAUGGCAGAGUGCAGUGGGGGAAGGGAUGGGAUUUCACCAUGUUGUCCAAGCUGGUUUUGAACUCCUGGGGUCAAGAAAUCCACCUGCUUCGGCCUCCCACAGUGCUGGGAUUACAGAUGGGGAAACUGAGGCACAGAGAGGUUAGAGAUAUGCCUGAAGCCACACAGCUUGCAAGUGGUGGAUCUGGGAUUUGAACUUGUCGAUCUGGCUGCAGAGCUGAGCUCUUGGAGACUAGGUUUUACUGCCUAGUAGCAUGUAAGCCUGGAACUGCCGGCAGUCAUUUUGUAAGUUUGCCGAGUGAACCUCAAUGAGCAUGAAGCAGAGAGGAAAGCAGUACUAAGAGAUGCAAAAGAGUCUGUGUUCCAGCAAUGGGAUCUGAAGUCCUGGAUCAAACCUUACCUGGAGACAAGAUUUACCCAUCAGACAUGCCAGUUAUAAGACCCAAAUUUACCCUUUUUGGGGGAUUGAGUUUGAAUGAGUAUUUUUGUUUGUUUGUUUUGGCAUCAGAAAGACUCCUGAUUAAUACACAGUGUGACGCUGACCAAGAUGCUUCCUUUCUCUAGGACUCAAUUUUCUUAUCUGUAAAGUAAAGGGUUCAUCAACAUUCUUUGGUUGAAUCUUACCUGAAACAUUUUGUGAGCCUUCACCAAUCUCAUCUAAGCCUUUGUUUCCAUAGAACAAAGCCCUUUAAGAAAGGAGGGGAAAGUGUCAUGGAGUCUUACUGUCCUGAGUGCAAAUAUGGUCUCUGUAUUGUCCUUAUCUGUUCAUUUUCUGCCUCUCAGUACUAGAAUGAAAACUCUGGAAGAAGAAGGAAUUUUGUCUGAUUUUCUUACUGCUGUAUCCUCAGUAUUUUGAACUGUUUCUAACUCAGAGUACAAUCUCAAAAUUUUUUUUGAUUUUCAUAUAUCUGUAUAUAUAUUUGUUAAAUGAGUGAAGAAAUCCUUAUAUGUCUUUAUGGAUAACAAGCUGGCUUGGGCAUGGUUUUCAGUUAUGGGUCCUUCCUUUUGUGCGGGAGUGGUUAUGGAUGGUAUUUGUUCCUCUCUGCUUCAUAAUUCUCUCAUCCAUUUUUGACUUAAUGGACAGAAACAAUAGAUGAAUAAAAUGGAAUCAUCUCUGAACAAAA
ensembl:lncRNA novel transcript